ensembl:lncRNA
AGCGGCAGAACCCAGACCAUGUCCCAGUACGGGACACUAUUCUCGGAUGCUGAUGUCAGAACAGCAGGUGUACCCCAUGGAUGAAUAAAGAGUUCCAGAGAGCGGCAGAGACCAGACCAUGACCCAGAACGGCACACUGUUCCCGGACAGUGAUGGCAGACCAGCAGGUGUACCGCAUGGAUGAAUAAAGAGCUCCAGAGAGCGGCAGAGACCAGACCAAGUCCCAGAACGACACACUAUUCCCGGACAGUGAUGGCAGAACAGCAGGUGUACCGCAUGGAUGAAUAAAGAGCUCCAGAGAGCGGCAGAUACCAGACCAAGUCCCAGAACGACACACUAUUCCCGGACAGUGAUGGCAGA